rnacentral:rRNA from 1 species
GAUGAACGCUGGCGGCGUGCCUAAUACAUGCAAGUCGAGCGAACAGACGAGGAGCUUGCUCCUCUGACGUUAGCGGCGGACGGGUGAGUCACACGUGGAUAACCUACCUAUAAGACUGGGAUAACUUCGGGAAACCGGAGCUAAUACCGGAUAAUAUAUUGAACCGCAUGGUUCAAUAGUGAAAGACGGUUUUGCUGUCACUUAUAGAUGGAUCCGCGCCGCUUUAGCUAGUUGGUAAGGUAACGGCUUACCAAGGCGACGAUGCGUAGCCGACCUGAGAGGGUGAUCGGCCACACUGGAACUGAGACACGGUCCAGACUCCUACGGGAGGCAGCAGUAGGGAAUCUUCCGCAAUGGGCGAAAGCUUGACGGAGCAACGCCGCGUGAGUGAUGAAGGUCUUCGGAUCGUAAAACUCUGUUAUUAGGGAAGAACAAAUGUGUAAGUAACUAUGCACGUCUUGACGGUACCUAAUCAGAAAGCCACGGCUAACUACGUG